rnacentral:lncRNA from 1 species
CCCUGAAAGGUCAGAAGGCCGUCUUAUUCUCAAUAUGCAUUUUAUUUUAUUACCCAAUCUGCUCCUGACAUAAAAUAAAUCUCCAAAAAUUAAAUUCUGGCCCUCAAACCCCACAGCAGGACUUAAUUAACCUCACCUUCAAGGUGUACAAUAAUAGAGUAGAGGCAGCCAAGUAGCAACAUAUUUCUGAGUUGCAAUUCCUUGCCUCCACUAUGAGACAAACCUCAGCCAAUCUCCUGCACACAAGAACUCCAAACACCUGAACCGCAGCUGCCAGGGGUUCCGCCAGAACCUCCUCCCCCAGGAGCUUGUUACAAGUGCCAGAAAUCUGGCCACUGGGCCAAGGAAUGCCCACAGCCCGGGAUUCCUCCUAAGUCAUAUCCCAUCUGUGUGGGACCCCACUGAAAAUUGGACUGUUCAACUCACCUGGCAGCCACUCCCAGAACCCCUGGAACUCUGGCCCAAGGCUCUCUGACUGACUCCUUCCCAGAUCUUCUCGGCUUAGCAGCUGAAGACUGACGCUGCCCAAUCGCCUCGGAAGCCUACAGGAUCAUCACAGACGCUCUGGGUAACUCUCACAGUGGAGGAGCCCUGCAAGAAUCCAAGUAAAUAAAGCUAAACCUUCACUACUGAAAACCAGCUUCUAGGUAACUCAUGUAUCAUACACCUUAUAUCCUUGCAUGGAUUCCCCAAAUCUAGUCUCUGAGGGCUUGGAUCUUCCUCUGAUAGUUCUACUUCAUUCUGUCAAAGAUCCAAUUCCCGAAAGAGUUUUUUUCAUCAUCUUCAAACAUCCAGAAUUGGCUCACACAAUUACAGAGGCUGAGAGGCCAUACUAUCUGUCAUGUGCAUGCAGGAGAACCAGGAAUGCUGGUGGUGUAAUUCAGUACAAGUCAGAAGACCUGGGAACCAGGGAGCUGAUGGUGCCCUCAGUGUAUUGGAUGAUACCUGCCAAUACUGGAAAGGCCAUGUGACCACACACCAAGAAGCUAGCUGUCUGCCAGCCAGGAAGAGAGCCCUGACCAGUAAUCAAAUUGGCUGAAGACUUGAUCUUGGACUCCUUGUCUCCAGAAAUAUGUUGGCACUUCUUAGGAAGGAGCCAUCCAUGUCUGAAGAGAAGAAAUGAUAAUUAACUUCAUCAUGUGGAAAGCUUUAGAAGGAAGUAUCUUGUCCUUCUGUCCAAACCCGCCUCCUCCUUACCACCCCCAAUAAAAAUAAAAGCCAAACAAAUAAAACAUUAGCAGUAGCUCUGAGUUUCUUCCUUUCACUUUUUCUCUCUCUUCAUGCCUUUUCUCCUCCAUUCCUUCCUUCUUUCAAAUCAUUUUUACUAGUUUAAGAGAAUAAUUCAAUCUAUAUUUAGAAAUCAGACUUAAAACUUCAAAAAUUAUACUGAAAUAGCUUCCCCUUAAAGGGUGAAACAGUCAUGAUAAAAAUAACAACCGAUAGAAUAAAAUAAUAUAAAAUUAGCUGAGUUUAUAGUUUCUUUUACACCUCCAUAAUUUAUGUGGAUUUGGAAAUACAGACAGUAUACUGAAAACUAAGAAGUUUUCUAUGAAUUAUGAGAAUUUGCAAUCCACAUAGGCUUAAGUCUAAUGUUAGAAGAUAAAACAAAUUGACCUUAAAUAACUUUCUGACAUAACCUCCCCAUUUCAUGGAUGAAAAACCCUAAAGCUCUCAUAAGUAAAGUGAUUUACUUCAGGACACAAACUAGUUGAUUUAGUUUGGAUGUUUGUCCCCUCCAAAUCUCAUGUUGAAAUGGAAUCCCCAGUGUUGGAGGUGGGGCCUGGUGGGAGGUGUUUGUGUCAUGGGGCAGAUCCAUUAUCCUUAUGAGCUGCUUGGUGCUAUCCUUGUGAUAGUGAGUGAGUUCUCAUGAAAUCUGGUUGUUUAAAAAUUUGUGGCACCUCCCCACCAGCCUUGCUCCUGCUCUUGCGGUGUGAUAUGCCUGCUGCCUCUUCACCUUACACCGUGAUUAUAAGCUUCCUGAGGCCUCACCAGAAGCAGUU